rnacentral:rRNA from 1 species
CCUACGGGGGGCAGCAGUGGGGAAUAUUGCACAAUGGGGGAAACCCUGAUGCAGCGACGCCGCGUGAGUGAAGAAGUAUUUCGGUAUGUAAAGCUCUAUCAGCAGGGAAGAAAUAGCGACCUUUGGGUCGCCAGACGGUACCUGACUAAGAAGCCCCGGCUAACUACGUGCCAGCAGCCGCGGUAAUACGUAGGGGGCAAGCGUUAUCCGGAUUUACUGGGUGUAAAGGGAGCGUAGACGGCAGCACAAGUCUGAAGUGAAAUGCCGGGGCUUAACCCCGGAACUACUACUAAAACUGCUGGGGUUGAGUGCAGGAGGGGCAUAUGGAAUUCCUAGUGUAGCGGUGGAAUGCGUAGAUAUUAGGAGGAACACCAGUGGCGAAGGCGAUAUGCUGGACUGUAACUGACACUGAGGCACGAAAGCGUGGGGAGCAAACAGGAUUAGAUACCCCAGUAGUC